GACACCUUAUUUAUACAUUCUACAACCCUGGACUCAAAAUGACCACAAAACUAUCGAUUCGAUGAUAAGAUAGUGUGAGCUUCGAUAUGACUUAACUUAAUGUGUUCUGUAAGGUGACAAUCUACAAAGAAAAGGGAAAACAAAUAGGGUAGGCAUAUAAAAUGCUUAGUAAGUUCAUAGGCAUUAAACAAAAGCUUACCUUAGCUUUCAAUUAAGCACAAUAAGCAACUUA
rnacentral:lncRNA from 1 species